rnacentral:misc_RNA from 1 species
GGAAGAACACCAACGUGCGCGUGCAAGCAAGGGAAGUAGGCAAGGAAGGCUCGCAACGAAAGCGGAAGCGAAGAGCUCGCGGUACAUUCCGCCGCGUUACCGCCGCGCGCCUCCGCAGUGCUGGUGAGAAAGCGAGGGUGAGCCAAGGCCCACGCACAGGCGCGCGCGCGCAAGCAGGAGGAAGACAGCCGUGCGCCCCCCCCCCCCCCCCCCCCCCCCCCCGCACGCACUUUGGUUUGGGGAGCCGAGACAAGAAAAGAAAGUAAAGUAAACAUGGGCCGCAACAAGCCGCGAUCGAAGGCGGUAGAUGUUACGAAGAGUCUACUGCAGCCAACUAGUAUCACCGACCACAUUGCCGUCCAGGUAGCGGCAAACAAUGUCAUUCAGGUAGCCGAAGAUGACCUCAGCCCCACGCAGGGAAGCGAGGCAGCCUUUGCUCUUCGGCGCGAGGGCAAGCUGGAUGCCUCCAUGAAGUUGUGCCUCAACUGGCGACAGGGCAACUGCCACAACCAUGCCGCGUGCUCCUUCGCCCACGUCAUUCCGUACUUCGGCGUUAGCAGCGACGGCGGCGGAACCCCGGGAACACCGGGUAAGCCGGCCGGCCUCAACGCCGACGGCAGCGGAGGCUUCACAUACAGUAGCGCUGCUGCGGCGGGUGAGGCAGGCGGGCGCGGCGGUAACGCCGCCUCCAGCUCGUCGUGGCCGCAGAAGGUCGCGUCACCUUUGUACACCGCCACAACCGUGGUCCAGCGUGGGGAGGAAGACAAGACUAUGCCAGCAGCGGCAUCAGCGCAACUUUCUGCUGCCUCCGCCGCUUCUGUGAAACCGGAGGUCGCGGAUUCGACUGACACGGCAGAACUGGGGUCAAUGGCGCCGUCCUCGAACGCCUCGGCACCACCGCCGGCGGUGGUGUCAGCUGAGGGGCUGCGCUCGAUCCUGGUGUCGCUUACCGCCGCUUUGGCGAACAAGGCGGCCUUGUGCGCUAUCAGUGACCUCGCCGAACCCACUGAUGCGGAUGACGACGUCGACUUCACUCAACCGCACGCUGCGUGGCUUCGAGAGAUGGCUGAGCGCGCGGAAGAGGAGGAGAGGGCGACGCUGACCGAUGGAGCCUACUCUUGGCAGCAGCCCCUGAAAGCGUCGCUGGCGGAGUUCGUUGAGGUGGCCGGCAAGAGUCUACUAGGUGAGCCCAUGUGGCAGGACUGUAGUGCUGUGGACCUUUACCACUCACUCGCCGACCGCGCCACUGCGGCCGCCGCAACCUCUAUGCGUCGGCUCCUGGAGGCCGCGCAGUCGCAGGCACAAGAGGAGGCAGCUGGCCACGUCGCGGCUGCCGACCCUCGUGCGUUCUCCACCGCGCCGACGCCGGCUGAUGCCGGCGGUGUUGGUGCUAGGGCAGCGCCGCUCACCCUUGUAGACUUGCUGUUGGAUGAGGCGGGGGGUGCGGACGCGGAAGCCGACAGCACACCGGCACCGCCCCUCUCCUAACAGCUCGUGCGUGGGUUCGCUAAUGAAGACGGACGUGGCACAUGGGAAAACAAAAGAACGGGAAAGAAUAAGGUAACUCACGCAGAGGCGCGCUUGCGCAGUCUCUGCAUGGCGUGCGCGCACACAACACGUGCAACUGUGAUUUAGGUGUUGCGCAAGUGUCUGAGUCGGUGCGUGUGUGUGUGUGUGUGUUACAUGCCCUCCGCCUGUGCCGAUGCCAGUUGUGAUGAGGUGCGCUGACGAGUCGGACGGUGAGUGUGAGAGGACAGUAGUCGCUACUUCGCGGACCGACGUCAAGGCCGAACUCCUCGGGCUUGUGGCGCAGUGACAGCGUGGGGACGGCGUGGGCUGCGGUCGACGAUUUCCGAGUGUGCGUGCGUGUAUUCUGUGCACGUUCGCGUCGUGCUCUGACGACGCCAGUGUGUGCUGGCCUUAAGCUGGAGGUGGCCAUAGGCGCUUCGCAGCCGACAUAGUACGUGGGACAGUCUGACUUGCCACGUCGGCUAUUGCAGUGCACGGUCUCCGUCCCUCGCUCUGUUGCCACCCACCCCCGACGGAGGCCCGGCAUCCUGACUUUUUUGUGCUCUCUGGAGUCGCUUAGGGACCAGUUGCCCUUUGCCUAUCUUU